rnacentral:miRNA from 1 species
UUCGGAAGAAUGUAGAGAAAAAG